UGGGGACAGGUGACAAUUCAACCUCAUUUGGCUCUGCAGGAAAAACUAUGACAGGAUAUCUAAAUCUCAGGAGGACAGUUGGUGUCAACCAUGGCCACUAUGGAGGGUCGAAGCAUGAAGAGUUCCAUGCCCUGGCCCGCAUCUGAGAGAAUGUACAGCCACCUGGCCUUCUACAGCACUGGCCCUGUCUGCAAGGUCUUUCCCCUGUCUCUUAGAGAAUCUGCUCCCAGCUCUCAGACAAGGUGAUGACCUGUGGAGAAUGGAACCUGAAAUGAGUCUCUCAUGGCCUUACGGAAUUCUGCUUUCAAGGGAAGCCCUUGCGCAAGACUCACUCCACCUCAUCUGUGUCCAGUGCUCCACUAAUUUCCAUGGUGCAGAUCUCAGCCCUGGAGGUUCAUCUUCCUAAGGAAUGCUGGGACUUCCUGGUCCUCUCUCCUGGUGCAUGGUCCAUUCUUCUUGUUCUUUACAGGCAUGCUUUUCAAGAUACCCAACUUUGCAUGGCACUGCUUGUCAGAAGCCAGAGCCUAGGGCCAACCCCGGGUCCCAUAUAGCAUGUACCCGGCGAAACAGUCACUAUCAGGAGGGACCUUGGGCGAAGGGGGCCUGCUGGCUGAUGCAGCAUCCUGACCUGUGAGGAGUUCCAGGGGUCUAGAGCUGGGACAACAGUCUUCUCUGAAUACUACUCUCAUGAAGAAGAGAGAAGACUGAUUAAAUUAAAAUACGAAAGAGAGGGUCUCCCUGGAGCAUCUAGGGAAACCCUAAUUCUUGGCAGCUGUGGGGUAGUUGGGUAGGAGGAGUGUGAAAGGCUGGGUUGGAGGACAAGGCUAUAUAGGUAUUGUGGAAUCCUCAGCUCCUGCCUGCUGUGGUCUGCAGUUGGGAGGUGUGGGAGCUGCAGGCUCCUGUGAGUAUAACAGCCCCAUAGAAGUGACCAUUCUCAUCUCACUUGAUGACCAUGUAAUGGUCUCAAGAAGGAUAAGAGUCUAACCAGAUAAUGUUGAUCUCACAGAACCUGCUUCUGUGGCCUCUCAGUGUGAUAUUACUGAAAGGCAGGGAGGAACAGACCCCCAUGCAGCCAGCUGGGGAGGUGCAGAACCCUUUGAGGGAGGCAUUACGGUCUGGACAUGAAGUGUCAGACUUGUUCCUCAGCUGGUGGAGCAAAUCAUUGAGGGUUACCAGCUAGUUCCUGAGGGCUCUGACCAAAUCGGUUAGUCACUGAUGGGUUCCUAUUAAUGGCAUUACUGGCAGGUGAUGGAAACUUCCAGCAGCAGAGCCUCCGUGAAAUAAGUGGGCCAUUGGGAAUAUGGUCUCAGUAGCUAAACCUUUACCCAGAUCCCUCUUUGCACAGCUGUGAAAUUCUCUCUCCCCCACAAGGCCACAGCAAUGGACCAGAACUUCAUCUGGGAGCCCAAAUGAGUCUCUCCUCCUCUGACAUGUUUAUCUCAGGCAUUUGUAGCAGCAAUGAAAAAUCUAGUGUAGGAGGCAAGUUGUUUUGUUUGUCUUGGGGUGUGUGUGUGUGUAUGCAUGCAUAUGUGAUCAUGUUUAAUGGCUAAUUGUUAGAAAAUAGAUAUAAGCCUGUCAGCACACUCCUUUAAUCCUACCACUUGGGAGGCAGA